GGGGGGGCGAGACGGACCUUUCACUCCUGCUAUUGAAUAUAUUAAAUUAUCCCCACACUUCCGCUGUAAAGGAAAUACUGUAAAGCAUGUAUGGGGAGGAGGUGGGGGGACUCUUUGGAGAUCAAAGCGCAGACACAGCUAGCUAAUAGGUUGGGAAAGGGGGGCGGGAAGCAUCCCCCCGAAUAAGCCCCAAUGCAUCUCACACUCUACCCCCGCCCCCCACUCCAAAUCUGCUGCGGCUCCGGCUUCAUGGAAUCUUUUCGUUUGGGAAGAAAGGAGGUGUGGACGAAUUCGGACUUCUUUCUCGGCACUCUCCCCCAGCGCCGACCCCAAUUCCGGAAAAGCAAGCCGUUCUUUAAUAUUUCUGAGAAGUUUAUGCUGCCGAUUAGCCGUUCGGUGGAAAGGAGAAUGUGUGGCGCAGCUCAUGGUGGCCCUGGAGAGAGCCUGGCUGGCGCUUGUUUACGAACAUCAAAAUUAGUCACACGGUGAGAUGAAGCUCAAUAGCAGCUUCAUUCCCUUUACGGGAAAGAAGGGGGGCGGAGGGUGGGGGGGAUAAGAAGAAUUCUCAUUGUUAAGAAGAGGACAGCCCCUGAGAUACAAGCUGGGGAGGGAGGGGGUGUUGAAAAUCAUUGCUUAGGGUGAGGUAUGCCGCGUAAAAACUGGGGGGGGGGGAGCAGAAUACGGAGAGGAAAGAGUAAUGAUUCUUGGGAUGAAAGCAAAGCUCAAUGGAAACCCCCCAGCUUAGGCUGGUUUUAAUCAGCCACAAAUCUCUCUCCCAGACCAGGCUUCAGACCUUUCUUUUUUACAUAUGCUUGGGGGGGGUGGAGGUAGGGGGUUAGGGGUGGGAGGGCGGAUGUGUGUGGCAGGGGGUGGGGGCAAGAUGAGGGAAGAGGGGGACUGGUCGCACAAACAUCCCUGUUUUCGCAUUUUCUUUUCGGGAUGUCAUCAGAACCUAUUAACUUGUCAGAUUGUCAUGAAGUUGAACCCAUCUGUUUUGGAUGUAACAGGAGAAAAAGAAUGAGAAGGAACAGCAGCCAGAGAAAAAUACAGUUUCCAUAGUGCAGGGAUAGGGCGGGCACCAGCAAGAAAACAACAUUAGCUAAACUCUGUGUCAGCAGCCGUUUGUUCCUUGCCUGCUCAGACCCCAUCCCACACGUACACACACUCACAAGAGGGUAGGAGAGCAUAUACCCACCUUGCAGCUAGCGAUCCCUCCUCCCCCCUAGGUAGAACAGAAUUUUGAAUUCCUGCUUCUAAUUUUUGGGAUGGUUUUAUGGAUUUUGAAGAUUUUCCCCCCUUCUUUGGUCUGGACCUGCGAUUUCAUCUUUGUAGAUGUCUCCUGGUUAGGAAAGUCCCUUUUGGCAAUACAAAUCAACAACUAUACUUUUAUUUGUUGUCUCAGAGAGUUGCCUGAUGGUACUGAGAGUUUAAAUGACUUGGUCUGGGCCACAUAGCUAGUAUAUAUCACCAGAGGUAUUUGAACCCAGCUUUUCCUGUCUCCAGGUUGGCUCUUUAUUCACUAUGCUAGGCUGCCUCUCAUGAUUUUCAUACUCAGAGACGAAAUAGGUUCUCCAAAAUCCUUUAUAUUAGAAACAGUAGGCUUAAUUUGGCUAUAGGAUCAUAGGUGGAAAAUGAAGAAUGGAAUUGCUCUUUAAAAAAAAACAAACUUUUUUUUGGUUUUACUUCUUGAGAGUCUGUGAAGUUGCAUGAGAGAAUAAUUUCUCAAAGUAAUGAAUAAUUGUUAUUAAAUUAUUUAAAUAUCAAUUAUGUACUUGAAUUUCUUUGAUAAUUUGUAAAGAAUAAUUUUCAAAAUGUGUUACAAUCUUAAUUGUGUCUUAAAUAAUUUUAAGUGGCAUUUUAAAAAUCAAAUGUGAUGUAGUUUUAAAACAUUUGCAUGUUAAAUGAUCUGAAAAUUAACAAAACAUUUUUGCACCAUUAUUUGCAUAGAGUUAUGAUUAAAGAUCAGUGUUGCAAAGAGAUUUUGAUAUAAAAUUGCCAUGAAGUAAAUUCAUUUAAAUCCCGUUCCUUAAUCCUUGACCUCUUUAUAAAGACAUGGUAGUGUGUAACUAGGCAUGCCACCUUUAAAUGUGGUUUUCUUGUUUUGUUUGUGUGUAGGGGUUGGUGGGUUGGUGGGUGAGAUGAGGGAGGCAAUGUGUGUGGACAUUUCAGUUCGAUUUUCUGUUUGCUUCUUCUGUAUAUGUUGUUGCCUUUUAUAUCAACAAAUGUUGCCUAGCAAUUCAGUGUAUCUCUAUGUGGAAAGCAUAGAGGGAGUCUUACCUGGAGGUUUGAAGAAAAUGUAUACUGCUUUAUUGGCCUUGUAACAAUUCACAUUACAUUAGGAAAAAACAUGUACAUAUGACCCCUUUCCCUUCAUCAUUUCACCUAGAUUACAGAAGAUGUUACCAGGAGUUAAAGAGGUGACAUCUUACCAUCACUCUGUAACUUCCUGUGAGAUGUUUGGUCCAAGUAUUUUUCUUGCUCCCCAGUAACCCCCACCUUCAGAUUUUUACUCUACACUAGGAUGAAUUAAAAAUUCUUAUGCAUCUUCAGCUGUUAGACACAUAUGAUGCUAGCAAGCAUAAUCUAGAAGAAGUUUCUUGACUGCCGUUUUAGGGCCAUUCUAGUUUAAAUGCCAACUUUUUUUUUCUUUAUGGUUAAGGAUCAGUAGCUAUUAUGGACAGGCAUGAAGUUUAGCUUGGCUGUUGCCUUCCAUCUGUUGCCAGGGUCACCAAGUUUAGGGUAGGCAAACUGAGAAAAAGGGUGGAGAAUUAUCAUGUACGUCAUUAGCAUUGUCUUAUACCAUCAAGAUUACAAAUCUCUUGCAGAAGAAAAAAACCAAACUGGUUUUAAUCCUGAUGCCCUUGAACCUCAAAAUGUGGGAGGUAUAUAUUCAACUCACAUCAGGAAGUUUAUUCCAGGAUGCUGAAGCCAAGAAAUUCUGUACUCAGAAUUAUUCCAGUCUUCUUUCUCAUGUGCUGUAGGCUUUUUCUUUCCAUCUUUUAUGGUCAGUGCAUUCUCAUUUCUUUCUGUGAAAAUUCCUGGUUCUCUCUCUCUCUCUCUCUCUCUCUCUCUCUCUCUCUCUCUCUCUCUCUCUCUCUCUCUCUCUCUCUCUCCCCUCUCUUUCUCCCUCUCUCCCCUCUUUCUCUCUCUCUCUCUCUCACACACACACACACAGAGAAUAUAUCAUUAUAUACUUAUUGACUAAUUUAAGAUCUGUUCUAUACCUUCUUGUUUUCUAAAUGUUCUCCCAUACUGUCUUUCAGCAAAAGUCAGCUAUUAACUCCUGCCCAAUAUGCUUUAAACUGAAGGACUGAGAACUGUUGAAUGGCCUGCUGCCAGCACACAGCCUGGUUGAAAAUUUUUCUCAUGCCCCAAGAUCUUUAGUUGGCAGUUUUUUCCACUCUUUCUGUAGGAUAAUAAAGUGAUUAUGUCUUCUACCA
rnacentral:lncRNA from 1 species